UACGGGGGGGGGUAAGCGUUGUUCGGAAUUACUGGGCGUAAAGGGCUCGUAGGCGGCCAACUAAGUCAGACGUGAAAUCCCUCAGCUUAACUGGGGAACUGCGUCUGAUACUGGAUGGCUUGGAUUCGGGAGAGGAAUGCGGAAUUCCAGGUGUAGCGGUGAAAUGCGUAGAUAUCCGGAGGAACACCGGUGGCGAAGGCGGCAUUCUGGACCGACAUUGACGCUGAGGAGCGAAAGCCAGGGGAGCAAACGGG
rnacentral:rRNA from 1 species